rnacentral:misc_RNA from 1 species
GCAAACUUGGUCAUUUAGAGGAAGUAAAAGUCGUAACAAGGUUUCCGUAGGUGAACCUGCGGAAGGAUCAUUACUGAAAGACUAUCUCUUAGUUCUUCAUAUCCCAUUGUUAACUUACCGUGUUGCUUCCAUAUGGACAGGCUCACUUUGAGUGAGCCCUUUGGCUUGGUGUGAGUAUUCAUACAUUCCAGAGAGUUGCCUGUGGUAAGACCCCUAAACCAAAACUUGAAGAAAACCAAAAGUCUGAUAAUUCAUUGCAAAUGAAAUAAAACUUUCAACAACGGAUCUCUAGGCUCUUGCAUCGAUGAAGAACGCAGC